rnacentral:lncRNA from 13 species
AUAUAUAUCAAAUUAAUAUGUAUUUUGCAUAUAUAUUUUAUUGUAUAUAUGUUAAAAAUGUAAGUCUGGGAAAAUACACCACAACAGUAAAGUGCAUUUUUUUUUUCUGAGUGGAAGGAUUAUGUGAUUGUUCUUCACACUUUACUUAUUUCUGAAUCUUUUUUGUAGUAACUGCUUUUGUUGUUGUUACUCAUAUAUUUUCAUUUAAAAAUCUACAGUCUGUUAGCUAAUAACGAAAUAAUUGGCAUCAAUGAAAUAUGAAGAAAGGUAAGAGAAAAGUUUCUGGGGAAACCAGAGCCUCUGUGUCAGAGAGCGCAAAGCUGAUAAAAUGUCUAGUGCUUCCUUUGCCACUGUUAGAAGGCCAAGGUCACCCUGAGAGAAUCACUUACAUACUCGGAGCAUUGGUUUAGUAGUCAACAGUACCUAGUUUAUCAUGGUACUCGGAGCAUUGGUUUAGUAGUCAACAGUACCUAGUUUAUCAUGGUACUCGGAGCAUUGGUUUAGUAGUCAACAGUACCUAGUUUACCUGCUUCCUGAUGCGAAGACCACAUCCUGCCAUCAGUUCAUACACAGUCACCUCUGGCUCUGCCGUGAUCCUGAACACCAGCAAGCCCAGAGGAAAGGGGAGGAAAACCGCCACCGAGCAACCUCCCCCUAGAGACACCUGAGGUAGAAGUGCCACAAGACUUCUUAAAUUUUUCCACAACUUUAGCCAAAAUCCAAGACUUAUUUUCACUAUGGAUGUAUGCAAUCACACAUCCAUAUUUAUUUCUUUAUCUCUGGUGAUUUUGUUGCCAUGUAUAACGUUACAGAUGUUAUUGACUGGAACGCAGGACUCUGAAACAAGCACCAACUUCCCUUCUGCCUUCUCAUUGGUCUUUGCAGACGAACAACCGCAGAAGAGGUAAUAUCAGGGUGAUUUCCCUCCACCACAAUGGCGAGACUAUACCCACCCUGUAAGUGUAGAUGUAUUUAAUUCAUUAGGCAAAACUUGAUGUCACCUCAACCUAGAGGACCAAGCACUCAGUGACCUUGGGUAGAUAUCCAGGGAGUUACGUGAAGAGUUCCAAAACAAAAUCACUGGAAAAUACAUGGAAAUAGAGUGAAAGAGAGAGUUAAACAUAAUGAUAUCAAGCCAAGUAUAAGUUGACAAGAAAAACGAAACUGGUGUACAUAAAUGGAAGAAAGAGAACUACAGGUAAUUAGAGCAAAGUCAUAUCACAAAAUGUAUGCUAGAUUAGGCUUCGUUAGAGCAGUGAAGAAUACUGCUUUCAUUUAAUUCACAAUAACAAACAUGUUUUAUUUAUAUUUGUGUUGAAAUUCACCUCGUUACUUUUAUAAGCCGAUUGUUACAUGUAAGGACAAUGUUAGCAUACCAUUACUAAACAAUAAAGUCUACAUAGUGUUGGUUUUUG